AAUGAACGCUGGCGGCGCGCCUAAUACAUGCAAGUCGAGCGAGAAGACGUAGCAAUACGUUUGUAAAGCGGCGAACGGGUGAGGAAUACAUGGGUAACCUACCCUCGAGUGGGGAAUAACUAGCCGAAAGGUUAGCUAAUACCGCGUACGCUCCUUGGACUUCGGUUCAGGGAGGAAAGCGAUACCGUGGGUAUCGCGCUCUUGGUUGGGCUCAUGUCCUAUCAGCUUGUUGGUGAGGUAACGGCUCACCAAGGCUUCGACGGGUAGCUGGUCUGAGAGGACGAUCAGCCACACUGGCACUGCGACACGGGCCAGACUCCUACGGAGGCAGCAGUAAGGAAUAUUGCGCAAUGGGCGAAAGCCUGACGCAGCGACGCCGCGUGGGGGAUGAAGGUCUUCGGAUUGUAAACCCCUUUCGGGAGGGAAGAUGGAACGAGCAAUCGUUCGGACGGUACCUCCAGAAGCAGCCACGGCUAACUUCGUGCC
rnacentral:rRNA from 1 species